AGAAGAGCACAUAAAACACACACCCACAGUUCACUCGACAGUUAGAGCGAACACCUGUCUAACCACUGCCCAAGUCGAGAGAGAACAUUUCUGGCCCCAGAAACUCUCUGUGUCCAGGAGGAGACACUCCAUGGCUUUUGCUUCAUAUGUAUCAUGUGGCCUUCCAAAUGGAGUAAAGGGAUUUAUGUUGUCACCUUGCUGGCCAGAGUGUGUAUGUUUCAACACAAUAUCAUCAAUUCUGAGUGGUUAUCGUAAACAUGUUUGUCAGUUUAGCAGGUAUAAGGAAGGUAUCUCAAGGUUGCGUUAAUUGAUAUGUCUUGAACAUGCCAACACCAAUAUUUGUAUAUGUGCUCAUCUGUGUAUCUUUAGAAUUCUGUCUUCAUCUUUUACCCAUUUAUUUUUACCACAUUUCCAAAUAAUUUGGAAAACAUUGAGAUACAGUCACCAAUACAAUUCCGCUAACCUAGGCAUCACUGCUUUUAGAAACAAUAAUUCGACACAAGGCAAGCAUUGAAACUUCCCUUUCAGGACAUAAAAAGGAUCGGUGUCCAGCAAACCUAUCAACAACCGCUCUUUACACCCCAGGAAUGAGUGUGGUGUGCUGCAGAGUGGGCCUGGCCUGUGAAAGGGGUCCCAGGAAGACGUAGCGCUGUAGGAGAGCUCAUCGACAGGCCUGGGCAUAGAUAGAUCUGUGUCUUCAAAGUUUUCUCGAUGAAGACGUACCACAGGUGAUCCAUAAUAGUUAAAGGAAACUAUGGGCAAUCAUGAAUUACAAACUUUCUUUUCCCCAAAUUAACUGUGUUGAAAUUUAAAACGAGGGAUUCAUCUAGAAGCAACAGAACAAGGCUCCAAGGGCAGAGUCAUCCUGGUGUGUUAUUAUUACUCAUUAAUGCGGAGUCAGGGAGGGGCUGGCAGGUGUGUACGCGCCAGGCCUCUGGGAGUUCAGAAAGGAGGUUUUCCAUCUGUGAGACUGUCACAGGAGAGCAGACAUUCCUGAGUUUGUUGGUCCGACAGGUUUAGCCAUGUGAGGCCACUCUGCAGCAGGCUGAUCAUUCAGGCUUUAAGGGCACGAAGCUAGACCUCUAAAGGAGAGGAAAUCAGUAAAACAAACAAAAACACAGGUGAAGGCUGUGUGUCAGUCUAAGCUGACAAACGUACCAAAAAAUAAGUGUUAUUUUCUUCAUUUUUUUCUCCCCUACAAGACUGUCUUGAGAACGGGUACAAAGUAAACUCAGAAGAAGGGGCCAUUGAUGAGUCUACACUGAUUCUCAAAGUGUGGUUUCCUUUCCACAAAUGGGUAUCACUGGGGAACUUGGCAGGGAUGCAAAUUAUUGGGCUCCACCUUGGACCUAAAGCAUCAGAAAUUCAAGUAGGGGCGUGGCAGGUGAUUCUACUGCCUGCCUACCAAGGUUGAGAACCACUGCCAUUACCUAACCCGUUCUGCCACCUAGUGGAACUUUUCAGAAUAGCAUCUGGCAAUGGGUUGAAUUCACAGGGACUUCCUCAUACUUAAGGCUAGGGUCACUCUGAAUGCAUUCCAAAACUGGAGUUGCCUCCUACUUUAUUUCCAGUUAUUAUAGGGCAUGUGAUGGCAAGACACCCACAGGCAGUCUGCAUACACUCAUGCUUACUGUUUUAGAAAUGCUUUUAAUUUGUACUAAAAUUGCUCUUACACACUGGAAUAUUACGUAGCUAUUAAAGACUGCUAUGAGGACUAGUAACAUGGGAAAAUGCAGAAACAUCAGUGGGAAAGAGGUUUUAAAGUGGCACACAGCAUAUUUCAAAUGAAAUGGUCUAACUAUGCAUAGGGACAAAAUGAACUACACCAAAGAGGGUAAUAGUGGUUCUUUCUUGGGGAUGAGAUUAUAGGUAAACAUAUUCCAUGUAUUGUUUGUAUUUUCUGAGUUUUCUACAAUGAGUAAAAAUUAUUUUUAAGAAUAAUACAUUUUAGUUAUUUAAUACAGCUGCAGGCAUCAUUUGGCUGAAAUUCCUUCUCUCAGGAAAUAUGGUGUCCCUAUUCUGUGCUGGGCUUUGUGCUAGCGGCUGGGGAUACAGAGAUGAGCUGUGUAUGGUUCUUGCUUCUGGGAGCCCAUGGUUCUCUAGGGGUAGUGCACACACAAAAACCCAAGAAGGAAGCACAAAGAAGGGAGAUGUUCUACUUACAGGUCGCAACCAAGGUCUCCCAGAGCAAGUCACUCUCCAUGAAGUUCCCAAACUAAGGGGAUUGUAUUGCUACUCAUGGGAGUCUUCAUCAAUAUAGGAACAUGGAAGACACUACCAGAAUUUGAAGACAAGGAAAAAAGGACCAGAUUCAACAAAGGAUGAGGACAGAGGCAGGAAGUCCCAGAAAGCAAGCUGCCUUAUUUUUAAAUGCCACACAAAAACAGCAGAAGAGGUGGCUCCGUGAAGGCUGAAAAAUCCUUCCUGAAUGUAAUCUCAUUCCAAAAAGUCAGGAAAAAAUAAUUUUACAUAAAGUAAACAACAAAAGCAUUAAGGCCAAAUUUCAUAUAAAGUUAUGUUUAAAAAAAGAAGAGGACUAAGAGGGAGCAGAAUGAGAGAGAGGCUGUGAAAGACACCAAAUUAAAACAACAAUGAGACACCGCCUCGCACCCAUGAGGAUGGCUAUUCUCAGAGAGACAAGAAAGUGUUGGCAAGCGUGGCCGGUGGGAAUGUGAGCUGGUACAGCUUCCAUGGAAAACACGUGGGUGAUUUCUCAACAAGUUAAACAUAGAAUUGCCACAUGACUCAGCAAGUCCAGUCCUAGGUAUAUAUCCAAAAUAAUUGAAAACAGAGACUCACACGGAUACUUGUUUGUUCACAGCAGCAUUAUUUACAAGGUGGAAACAACCCACAUAUCCAUCAGCAGAGCAGUGUAUAACAAAAUGUGGUAUAUUCAUAUGCAAUGUGAUAUUAUUCAACCACAAAAUGCAGUUCUGGUAUAUGCUAGAAUAUGGAUGAACUGCAGAACAUGCUAGGGAAUAGAACCCAGACACAAAAGACACACUGGAUGAUUCUAUUGUGUGAAAUAUCUACAAUAGGCAAAUUCAUAGAGACAGAAAGUAAAUUAGAGGUUACCAGGGUUUGGGGGGAGGACAGGAUGGGGAGUUAUUGCUUAGUGGAUACAGAGUUUUUGCUCAGGGUGAUGGAAAAUUUUGGAAAUAGACAGUGGUGGUGGUUGCACAACAUUGUGAAUUUCAUUAAUGCCACCCAGGUGUACACUUUAAAGUGGUUUAAAUGGCAAAUUUUAUCUAGUACGUACUUUACCACAUUAAAAAGCUGUACAGAAAAGUAAGUCAGCAUCACAUAUUGCCAAGCUGGCUUUAGAGCUCAGCAAUAAAGACAUUUAAUUCUUUUAUAAAUUAUUUUAAAUGCUUUGUAAACAAUGAUCUUGGCAACAUAAAAGAGAUGUCAAAAAAUCACAGGCAUUGACAUCAAAAGUGAUCUUGACUUCAAAAGCGAUUUAGAAGAACUGAACGUAGAAUAUGCAAAAGUUUUAGGAAUAUCUUAACCAACGUAUUUUACUGUUGGCAAAUGGAUAAACAAAUGGAGGUUUAGCUACACAGUGGAAUACUACACAACAAUAAAAAGGAAAAACCAACAACACAUACAAAUAACACAGAUGCACUUGAAAAUUAUUCUGCUGAGUGAAUUACGUCAUACACAAAAGAAUGCAGACUACAUGAGUCUAUUUAUACAUACUUCUCCCUAUAAAACUAACCUCUAGUGACAGAUCAGUGGUUGUCUGGGGUUGGAAGUGGAGGGAAGGUUGGAUUACAAGCGCCAGAAGGAACCUUCGGUGAUGCAAAUGUUCAUUAUCUUGACUAUCGUGAAGGUUUCCCAGAUGUAUACAUACGUCAAAAGUCAUCAAAUGGACACUUUCAAUACAUGCAGCUUAUUUAUGCAAAAUUAUACCUCAUUAAAAGUGUAAAAAAAAUGCU